AAAUUGAAGAGUUUGAUCAUGGCUCAGAUUGAACGCUGGCGGCAGGCCUAACACAUGCAAGUCGAACGGUAACAGGAAGCAGCUUGCUGCUUUGCUGACGAGUGGCGGACGGGUGAGUAAUGUCUGGGAAACUGCCUGAUGGAGGGGGAUAACUACUGGAAACGGUGGCUAAUACCGCAUAACGUCGCAAGACCAAAGAGGGGGACCUUCGGGCCUCUUGCCAUCAGAUGUGCCCAGAUGGGAUUAGCUUGUUGGUGAGGUAACGGCUCACCAAGGCGACGAUCCCUAGCUGGUCUGAGAGGAUGACCAGCCACACUGGAACUGAGACACGGUCCAGACUCCUACGGGAGGCAGCAGUGGGGAAUAUUGCACAAUGGGCGCAAGCCUGAUGCAGCCAUGCCGCGUGUAUGAAGAAGGCC
rnacentral:rRNA from 2 species